rnacentral:rRNA from 1 species
AUGACCAGAAAAAGAAGUGGAGUUAGAAAGCCAUAUGAUAGCUGGAAACGUGAAAUCAAUGUUGGGGAUAAAGUAGUCGGAAGACAUGGGAAUAAAGGGAUCAUUUCUAAAAUUUUGCCUAGGCAAGAUAUGCCCUAUUUGCAAGAUGGAACACCCAUUGAUAUGGUCUUCAAUCCCUUAGGAGUACCCUCCCGAAUGAAUGUGGGACAAAUAUUUGAAUUAGCCUUAAAACGCGUUCCAUAA